GACGAACGCUGGCGGCGUGCUUAACACAUGCAAGCCGAACGGAAAGGCCUGCUUUCCCUUGUGGAUUGCGGGUACUCGAGUGGCGAACGGGUGAGUAACACGUGAGUGAUCUGCCCCCAACUUGGGUAUAAGCCUGGGAAACUGGGUCUAAUUCCCGAUAGGACUGCAGGGUGGUGCCUGUGGUGGAAAACGAUUUUCUAGUGGUUGGGGAUGAGCUCGCGGCCUAUCAGCUUGUUGGUGGGGUAAUGGCCUACCAAGGCGGCGACGGGUAGCCGGCCUGGGAGGGUGGACGGCCACAUUGGGACUGAGAUACGGCCCAGACUCCUACGGGAGGCAGCAGUGGGGAAUAUUGCACAAUGGGCGGAAGCCUGAUGCAGCGACGCCGCGUGGGGGAUGACGGCCUUCGGGUUGUAAACUCCUUUCGACCGCGAGGAAGCCACCUGGUUGGAAGGGUGGUGACGGUAGUGGUAGAAGAAGCACCGGCUAACUACGUG
rnacentral:rRNA from 1 species